rnacentral:rRNA from 1 species
UACGAAGGGGGCUAGCGUUGCUCGGAAUCACUGGGCGUAAAGGGUGCGUAGGCGGGUCUUUUAAGUCAGGGGUGAAAUCCUGGAGCUCAACUCCAGAACUGCCUUUGAUACUGAGGAUCUUGAGUUCGGGAGAGGUGAGUGGAACUGCGAGUGUAGAGGUGAAAUUCGUAGAUAUUCGUAAGAACACCAGUGGCGAAGGCGGCUCACUGGCCCGAUACUGACGCUGAGGCACGAAAGCGUGGGGAGCAAACAGGG